ensembl:snRNA U6 U6 spliceosomal RNA
GUGCUCACUUCAUUAGCACAUAACUAAAACUGGAACAAUACGGAGAUUAGUAUGAUCCCUUCACAAAGAUGACAUGAAAAUUUAUGAAGUAUUCCAUAUUUUU